rnacentral:rRNA from 1 species
UACGUAGGGGGCGAGCGUUGUCCGGAUUUAUUGGGCGUAAAGAGCUCGUAGGUGGUUUGGUAAGUCGGAUGUGAAAUCUCCAGGCUCAACCUGGAAGGGUCAUUCGAUACUGCCAUGACUAGAGUUCGGUAGGGGAGUGUGGAAUUCCUGGUGUAGCGGUGAAAUGCGCAGAUAUCAGGAAGAACACCCGUGGCGAAAGCGGCUCUCUGGAACGGUACUGACGCUGAGACGCGAAAGCGUGGGGAGCGAACAGG